rnacentral:rRNA from 1 species
GCUUACGGCCAUACCAGCCUGUACGCCCGAUCUCGUCCGAUCUCGGAAGCUAAGCAGCCUCGGGCCUGGUUAGUACUUGGAUGGGAGACCGCCUGGGAAUACCAGGUGCUGUAAGCAUUU